rfam:Magnetospirillum sp. 64-120 scnpilot_p_inoc_scaffold_1011, whole genome shotgun sequence.
CCUUGUUGCCUUUCUUGGACGUUUCCUCCCUAAACUUGAGCCCCAGCUUCGCGCUGGGGCUUUUUUUAUGUAUUUU